AGCCUCGUGGUGAAGAUACACGCCGGAUUGCAAAUUCAGAGACGCAGAGUAAUACGCUGCCGGGGCUU
rnacentral:tRNA from 1 species